rnacentral:rRNA from 1 species
GCCUACGGGGGGCAGCAGUCGGGAAUAUUGCGCAAUGGAGGAAACUCUGACGCAGUGACGCCGCGUAUAGGAAGAAGGUUUUCGGAUUGUAAACUAUUGUCGUGAGGGAAGAAAUUGACAGUACCUCAGGAGGAAGCUCCGGCUAACUAUGUGCCAGCAGCCGCGGUAAUACGUAGGGGGCAAGCGUUAUCCGGAUUUACUGGGUGUAAAGGGAGCGUAGACGGCGGCGCAAGUCCGGAGUGAAAGCCCACGGCCCAACCGUGGGACUGCUCUGGAAACUGUGCGGCUUGAGUGCGGGAGGGGCG